GCAUGGGUGGCGGAAUGGUAGACGCGCUACUUUGAGGGGGUAGUGAGGGAGACCUUGUGUGGGUUCAAAUCCCAUCCCAUGCA
rnacentral:tRNA from 1 species